rnacentral:rRNA from 1 species
AUCCUCUGACAACCCCUAGAGAUAGGGCUUCUCCUUCGGGAGCAGAGUGACAGGGUGGUGCAUGGUGUCGUCAGCUCGUGUCGUGAGAUGUUGGGUUAAGUCCCGCAACGAGCGCAACCGUUGAUCUUAGUUGGCCAUCAUUUAGUUGGGCACUCUAAGGUGACUGCCGGUGACAAACCGGAGGAAGGUGGGGAUGACGUCAAAUCAUCAUGCCCCUUAUGACCUGGGCUACACACGUGCUACAAUGGACGGUACAAAGAGCUGCAAGACCGCGAGGUGGAGCUAAUCUCAUAAAACCGUUCUCAGUUCGGAUUGUAGGCUGCAACUCGCCUACAUGAAGCUGGAAUCGCUAGUAAUCGCGGAUCAGCAUGCCGCGGUGAAUACGUUCCCGGGCCUUGUACACACCGCCCGUCACACCACGAGAGUUUGUAACACCCGAAGUCGGUGGGGUAACCUUUUGGAGCCAGCCGCCUAAGGUGGGACAGAGAUGGGGGAAGUCGUAACAAGGUAACCUA